rnacentral:rRNA from 1 species
UACGGAGGGGGCUAGCGUUGUUCGGAAUUACUGGGCGUAAAGCGCGCGUAGGCGGACCUGCAAGUCGGGGGUGAAAGCCCGAGGCUCAACCUCGGAACUGCCUUCGAUACUGCGGGUCUCGGAGUCCGGGAGAGGUGAGUGGAAUUCCUAGUGUAGAGGUGAAAUUCGUAGAUAUUAGGAAGAACACCAGGUGGCGAAGGCGGC